AUUGAACGCUGGCGGCAGGCCUAACACAUGCAAGUCGAGCGGAGCGGCGGACGGGCGAGGAACGCCUAGGAAUCUGUCUGGGAGUGGGGGAGAACGUCCGGAAACGGGCGCUAAUACCGCAUACUAUCAUAUGCGCCUAGGUCGGAUUAGCUAGUUGGUGGGGUAAAGGCCUACCAAGGCGACGAUCCGUAACUGGUCUGAGAGGAUGAUCAGUCACACGGGAACUGAGACACGGUCAAGACUCCUACGGGAGGCAGAAGUGGGGAAUAUUGGACAAGGGGCGAAAGCCUGAUCCCGCCAUGCCGCGUGUGUGAAGAAGAUCUUCGGAUUGUAAAGCACUUUAAGUUGGGAGGCGUUACCAACAGAAUAGGCACCGGCUAACUUCGUGCCAGCAGCCGCGGUAAUAC
rnacentral:rRNA from 1 species